AAGGUGAUUUGGUUGAGCAUAUA
rnacentral:siRNA from 1 species